AGCGCCGGUAAGGUGAUAUGAACCGUUAUAACCGGCGAUACCCGAAUGGGGAAACCCAGUGUGAUUCGUCACACUAUCAUUAACUGAAUCCAUAGGUUAAUGAGGCGAACCGGGGGAACUGAAACAUCUAAGUACCCCGAGGAAAAGAAAUCAACCGAGAUUCCCCCAGUAGCGGCGAGCGAACGGGGAGGAGCCCAGAGCCUGAAUCAGCAUGUGUGUUAGUGGAAGCGUCUGGAAAGGCGCGCGAUACAGGGUGACAGCCCCGUACACAAAAGCGCAUGUGCUGUGAGCUCGAUGAGUAGGGCGGGACACGUGGUAUCCUGUCUGAAUAUGGGGGGACCAUCCUCCAAGGCUAAAUACUCCUGACUGACCGAUAGUGAACCAGUACCGUGAGGGAAAGGCGAAAAGAACCCCGGCGAGGGGAGUGAAAAAGAACCUGAAACCGU
rnacentral:rRNA from 1 species